GACGAACGCUGGCGGCGUGCUUAACACAUGCAAGUCGAGCGCUGAAGCUCAGCUUUUGUUGGGUGGAUGAGUGGCGAACGGGUGAGUAACACGUGAGUAACCUGCCUCCUUCUUUGGGAUAACGCCCGGAAACGGGUGCUAAUACUGGAUAUUCACUGGUCUUCGCAUGGGGGUUGGUGGAAAGGGUUUUUCUGGUGGGGGAUGGGCUCGCGGCCUAUCAGCUUGUUGGUGGGGUGAUGGCCUACCAAGGCUUUGACGGGUAGCCGGCCUGAGAGGGUGACCGGUAACAUUGGGACUGAGAUACGGCCCAGACUCCGACGGGAGGCAGCAGUGGGGAAUAUUGCGCAAUGGGCGCAAGCCUGAUGCAGCGACGCCGCGUGAGGGAUGGAGGCCUUCGGGUUGUGAACCUCUUUCGCUCAUGGUCAAGCCGCAACAAUGGUUGUGGUGAGGGUAGUGGGUAAAGAAGCGCCGGCUAACUACGUG
rnacentral:rRNA from 1 species